rnacentral:lncRNA from 1 species
GGAACAAGGGACAAACCCUGGAGCUUUGGGUGGGUGGCUUUUGAUGCUUCUCCUUUAGAGCAGUGGAGACUAUUGCCCCUUCCCUGGAAUCUAUUGGUCUGCUAUGACCGAUAGGAUGUGACACUGUGUGACUUCCCAGGUGUCUUGGAUUUUUUGCUGCUGCAACUAAAAGAAAAAAAAAAAUUUGAGGGAAAGUUUAUUUGGGGGCUUGUGGUUUCAGAGGUCUCAGUCCAUAGACAGCAGGCUCCAUACCCAAGGGCUCCAGGUGAGGCAGAACUUCAUAGCCGAAGAGUGUGGCAGAGGGAAGCAGUUCACAUCGUGAUCAGGAAGCAGAGAGAGACUCCACUCUCCAGAGACAAAUAGAGACCCCUAUCUGCCUUCAGUUACCACUCAAUCCCAUCAGAUGAUUAAUUCACUAAUUGGGUUAAGGCUGUCAUAACCCAAUUAUUUCUCUAAACCUUAUAUUAUCUCACACAUGAGCUUUUGGGGGACACCUCACAUCCAAACCAUAACACCAGGCUAGGUCAUAACAGGCCAAGCAGCUUCUCAGAACACCUGUUUCGGAGGAAGCCGAUGUAUGGAAGAAGGCCAGUUACCAUGAGAUGGCCAAGCUGUAGAGGUUAUGUAGGGUGUGGCUGAUGGUCCCAGAGGAGUUUAUUUCUAGCCAUCCCCAACCAGGUGCCAGACACAUGAAUGAAAUCAGCUUGGAGCCCUGAGUUCAACCCAUCUGCCUGCUGAGUACCAAAGUAACCUCCGUUGAAGCCAUAAGGAACUGAAUUGCCUAGCCAACCUGGGUCCCAGUUCUAACCAACUGAU